CCAGACUCCUACGGGAGGCAGCAGUGGGGGAUAUUGCACAAUGGGGGAAACCCUGAUGCAGCGACGCCGCGUGUGGGAAGACGGUCUUCUGGAUUGUAAACCACUGUCCCCAGGGACGAAAAUGACGGUACCUGGGGAGGAAGCUCCGGCUAACUCCGUGCCAGCAGCCGCGGUAAUACGGAGGAUCCGAGCGUUAUCCGGAUUUACUGGGUGUAAAGGGAGCGUAGACGGUCCUGCAAGCCAGAUGUGAAAGCCCGGGGCUCAACCCCGGGACUGCAUUUGGAACUGUAAGGCUAGAGUGUCGGAGAGACAGGCGGAAUUCCUAGUGUAGCGGUGAAAUGCGUAGAUAUUAGGAGGAACACCAGUGGCGAAGGCGGCCUGCUGGACGAUGACUGACGUUGAGGCUCGAAAGCGUGGGGAGCAAACAGGAUUAGAUACCCGCGUAU
rnacentral:rRNA from 1 species